UACGAAGGGGGCUAGCGUUGUUCGGAUUUACUGGGCGUAAAGCGCACGUAGGCGGAUCGUUAAGUCGGGGGUGAAAUCCUGGAGCUCAACUCCAGAACUGCCUUCGAUACUGGCGAUCUUGAGUCCGGAAGAGGUGAGUGGAACUCCUAGUGUAGCGGUGAAAUGCGCAGAUAUCAGGAGGAACACCAAUUGCGAAGGCAGCUCGCUGGGACGUUACUGACGCUGAGACGCGAAAGCGUGGGGAGCAAACAGG
rnacentral:rRNA from 1 species